GUGUCAGCCGCCGCGGUAAUACGAAGGGGGCUAGCGUUGCUCGGAAUCACUGGGCGUAAAGCGCACGUAGGCGGCUUUUUAAGUCAGGGGUGAAAUCCUGGAGCUCAACUCCGGAACUGCCUUUGAUACUGGCGAUCUAGAGGUCGAGAGAGGUGAGUGGAAUUCCGAGUGUAGAGGUGAAAUUCGUAGAUAUUCGGAAGAACACCAGUGGCGAAGGCGGCUCACUGGCUCGAUACUGACGCUGAGGCGCGAAAGCCAGGGGAGCAAACGGGAUUAGAAACCCCUGUAGUCC
rnacentral:rRNA from 1 species